UCAAUUUCCUGCUGAGCACGGAGCCCCAGGUGAGGCUUGAUCCCACAACCCUGAAAUCAUGAGUUGAGCCAAAACCUGGACACUUAACCAACUGAGCCAUCUGGGCACCCCUGCCCCAGGGAUUCUGCAUGCUGAGCUCUGGACCACAGGCUUGGAAUGGGAGUGGGAUCAGGGUUGGAGGCCUCCUAUGCUGCAUGUGCUCCAGGAAGAGAUAAAACAAAGAGGAAGUAAAGAAGUCUCUAAGGCCCAGAGGAGGCAGCAACUUGACCAGGAACAUAUAGCUACUUAGUGGCACAUCCAGAUCCUUCCUCCCAGGCUGGCUCUUUGUACUCCCAGGGCCAGACAGAUAGGAGAUGGGGCAGCAAGUCUAGCAAUUCAGAGCUCUGACCUCCCUUUCCCUCCCUGUGUCCCCUCCCUGAUUAGUUCAAAGGCCAGCUUUCCGCUCCCCUGAUCCCCCUUCCUGAGGAGUUGGAACUUUAUCUCUGAAGUCCAGCAGAACUCUGGCUUCAUUCGGACCAGAAAUCCCCACCCUCCUUUCACACUGACCAUGUGUCACCCCAAGUCUUGCUUGAGAUGGGGCCCUGGGAAGCACACACUUCCACUGAGGCACCAGAGGUGAAUGGGACAGUGUGUUCUCCAAAACAGGCCUUUUUUUAAAAUGGAGGCCAGUUGCAGUGGAUGGAGUGAAGGCAGUAAGGGAAGGCCCAGGCCAGCACUGGGCUAUAAAGUGUGGGCAGUCUGUAGCCACACAUCACUUCCAAGGCCAUCAACUGGGGAGUUUGUGGGUGGAUGUCAUGGGACCUCCUCCCUUGCCUAAACCAGAGGACGGGAUUUGUUCUUCCUUCCUUUACAAAAAAAAAAAAAAAAAAAACUUUUUAAAAAAACGAUUCCUCCUCUCCCCUGCCUUGAUUACAAAA